rnacentral:rRNA from 1 species
UACGUAGGGCUAGCGUUGUCCGGAAUCAUUGGGCGUAAAGCGCGCGUAGGCGGCCAGAUAAGUCCGGUGUGAAAGCCACAGGCUCAACCUGUGAAUGCCGCUGGAAACUGUCUGGCUAGAGUCCGGGAGGGGCGAGUGGAAUUCCUGGUGUAGCGGUGAAAUGCGCAGAUAUCAGGAGGAACACCAAUGGCGAAGGCAGCUCGCUGGAACGGAACUGACGCUGAGGCGCGAAAAGCGUGGGGAGCGAACAGG